rnacentral:rRNA from 1 species
AACGAACGCUGGCGGCAUGCCUAACACAUGCAAGUCGAACGAGACCUUCGGGUCUAGUGGCGCACGGGUGCGUAACGCGUGGGAACCUGCCCUUAGGUUCGGAAUAACUCCCCGAAAGGGGUGCUAAUACCGGAUAAUGUCUUCGGACCAAAGAUUUAUCGCCUUUGGAUGGGCCCGCGUUGGAUUAGCUAGUUGGUAGGGUAAAAGCCUACCAAGGCGACGAUCCAUAGCUGGUCUGAGAGGAUGAUCAGCCACACUGGGACUGAGACACGGCCCAGACUCCUACGGGAGGCAGCAGUGGGGAAUAUUGGACAAUGGGCGAAAGCCUGAUCCAGCAAUGCCGCGUGAGUGAUGAAGGCCUUAGGGUUGUAAAGCUCUUUUAACCGGGAUGAUAAUGACAGUACCGGGAGAAUAAGCUCCGGCUAACUACGUG